AAACUUGUCUGUUGUUUGUUUUGUUGUUUUUCUACUGAAAAUUUUGUAUUUUCACGUACUUUUCAUGCAAAAAUGCUACAAUAAUCUGAACAGGUCCACCAGUGUUGGUACUCAAGGAAUUAUAAGCAGCAAUCAUGGCACCAACUGUUGACAAUGCGACUUUGAUUAUCCUAGACAUCGGUCAGCACACAUCCGCAUCGGCAGAGAAAAAUGAAAAACCGUUCUUUGAAAAUGCCAGGCAAUGCGCCAUUCGAAUCAUCGAGAAGAAUAUCAUGAUACAGACUAGGAACCUUGUGGGAGUAAUUAUUCUGGGUGCCAACAAAACCAAGAAUGCAUUAGCUGAGCAGUGCCCCGGUGCUUUCAAGCGUAUUGAAAUGACUGCAGAGUUGCAGCCGCCCACUUGGCAAAUGAUACGGGAUCUUCCACAAGCUGCAACUUCUCGUAAAGGAGACUGGUUUGAAGCACUGGUUGUGGCCGCUCACCACUACAAGGAUGGUGUCAGCGGAGUCAAGAUCAACAGCAAGAAGAUUGUGCUACUAACCAAUUUUGAGGCUCCAGCUAAUGUAGGAAAAAACUUUCAAGAGGUUGUUGAAGGUUUUAAAGAGGAUGAGUUGGAAGUGUUUGUCAUCGGAGUAGACAUUGAGGAGCAGCACAACAAGGACUUACAGCUGAUCAGGCAACUUGUGGAGGCAGCCAAUGGUGACACAGCCACCUUCAGUGAGGCCUUCAGUGGCUGGAUGUUCCACAAGACCAGGGGCAACAAAAUGACUCCACAAAACUUUGAUCUGUGCUUUGGUCCAAACAUAAAAAUACCCAUCUCAGCCUACAUCAGAAUAAGAGAUGAGGCUGUGGUGAAAAAUUGGCAAAAAGCUAUAAAAGAUCCAGUCACAGCCACAGCCAGCUCCAAUGAAGGUAUCCAAAAAGAACGAAAAACUAUCAAUACAGAAAACCAAAAAGUUAUCAAACCAGAAGAUAUUAUAAAAGGCUAUCUGUAUGGACAAAAAGUGAUACCUUUCUCUGAUACUGACAAGGAAAAUCUGUAUCAAUCUGGUGAUAGAUCAUUUUCCAUUUACGGGUUUACCUCUGCUAACAACAUACAAUGGCAGAAUCUACAAGGUGAUGGGACUUAUUAUGUUUUCGGGCGCAAAAACGACAAGAAGGCCCAGUAUGCCAUCACUUGUUUAGUUGAAUGUCUGCAUGAGAAGAAUUUAGUUGGGCUGGCGAGGAAGGUGCACCGUAGAAAUACUGAACCUAAGAUGUUCUUGCUUGCACCAGUUUUUGAUCCUAAUGGUUCUGUUUGCUUAUCAAUGAUAAGAGUCUGCUACAAAGAAGAAAUAGAAAAUAUGACCUUCCCACCAACAGAACUGAAGAAAUUUGCUUGCUCUGAUGCACAGGUGAAUGCUUUUAAAGAGCUUAUUAAAUCUAUGGAUUUGACCAAAGCUUAUGAUGAAUCAUAUGGAGAUACAGAAGCUUUCCCAGUGGCUGAAACAGUCAGUCCUGCCAUCCAGUACAUUCUGGAUUGUAUCUCGUACCGUGCCUUGAACCCUGGGAAGCCCCUACCUCAGCCAAGAGAUGAAAUCAUGAGUUUGUUCAAAGUGCCGCCAUUAAUUGAAAAGCAAUCAAGUGACCCAAUAGAAAAACUAAAGAAGCUGUUCCCACUGCACAAAAUUGAGAAGAAAGUAAAAAGGAGGGGAGGAGCAGUCCCCAGUACUGGUGUUUCUCCAACCAUUAAUAAUGCCACUGAUAAUAAAAUGGAUGUGGAUAAUGUUCCCAAAGUUCACUUGCCAAUAAUGAAGAAUGAUGAAGUAACCUGUGUGGGCACUGAUGACCCUGUUAAUGAUUUUGAAAAAUUACUUGGUGAAGGGAAGUCAUUGGUUGAGUUGGCACCUGAAAUAACUGAAGUUAUUGAAGGCCUUGUCUAUACAAAUUUUGGUGGUGAUUUCUCAAAGCCUUUGCAGGCAUUGAAGAGGUUUAGGACUGAAUGUGUGAAGAGUGAACCAUCACACUAUAAUAAUUGGCUGCUUAAAUUCAAGAAAGACCUACUAGAUCGAAAGAAAGAUGCAUUUUUAGAACUGCUAUCAGAGGAAGGUAAAUUUAUUUCUAAAGAUGAGAACAGUAUGAGUACAUUCACCCAGAAUGAUGAGCAUGAAGACAGCCAGAUGUAUGACAAUGACACUAUUUCUAACUCCACAGAAUUGGCCAUUGAUACUGAGGUGAAUGAUCUAUUUGAUGAAAUGUAAUUUAUGUAAUGUUGAACAUUAUAAAAUCAUGUAGAUCUAUGUUUGUCUGUGAUUAGUAAGCAUAUUUGUUAAUCAGUAACUAAAAGUUAUUUUGUUAUGAUAGAUUGUAAGCUUUUUUGUAAUAAAUCUACCUAUCUAAAUCAAAUUACUG